ACUGCGAGCACCUUAGCGAUGUACGGGAUCAGCGGCAGGUUCAGGAUCAAAAGUACCAGAUUGCCAAGGUACAUCGAAAUGAUCACUGCCCAGAAAAUCUGUGGCUCAUCAACCAUCAAGCGCGGACC
rnacentral:ncRNA from 1 species